GAAAUGGAUCUGGAUUAAUCAGGAAGAACUUCAGUUUGGUGUCAGUGAGUUGCAGGAUUGAUGCAGUGUGUGUGUGUGUGUGUGUGUGUGUGUGUGUGUGUUCACUAAUUUGGAGUGUUUUUUCACUCACCAACAGGUUGAAGGCCAUUUUGAUUUUCUGCAGGCAAAUUUUAAACUCUUCCUCUGAGGCGAGAACGAGAUCCACAAACUGCUCGAUGUCAUUAAUGAGGUUCAUUUCCUGUCCCCACACACGACCCAUCGUCUCCAACAGCUUCAGCCGCUCCACACAGUCCUGCAGUCCCGAGACUUCCACACCAUCCAGCUCACAGCCAGAGGAGACGUGUUGAGGAAAAACUCCCUGAGACGAUAUGAGGAAGAAACUUCGAGAGGAACCGGACUCAGAAGGAACCCGUCCUCAUGUAGAAAACAGACUUUCCACACAUUAGCACUACUCACUAAGGAACUACAGACUCUGUGUUCCAUCCUGGUACAUGCACUUCUCAAGCAGCUUUCUUCAUGUCUCCUACUGAUAACAUCCCGAAUGUCUUGAUACACAGCAAUGAAUUCUACUGAAUCUAUUUUUACUGAAGCUCCAUUGAAAGUGUGAGAGAACUACGAGUCUUCUGUCCUCAUCAUCCUCACUGCUGGCUUUGAUUCUGUGAAUCACCACAUCUUCUUGCUAAUUCGGAAUCUGUGCUCUGACUUGGUUGUCAUAGAAUCUAUAGGUCCACGAGCUUGGACAGGUUCCAUUUCAUCAUGUCACAGACUCACUGUGAGUCUAACGGAGUUCCUCAGGGGUUGGUUCUUGGUACACUUUUGUUCUCCCUGAGCGGUCAGGUCUUAUGAUGUCUUAUAACUGCUGAUGACACUCAGUAUCGCUUUCUUCUUUCAGAAGAUAUCAAACAGGUUUCUGACAUCACUUCCUGGAUGAGGACCCAUCAUCUGAAACUUUAUCUCCCCUCUACAGAGCCUUUAGAAAGCUGCUGUGCAUGGUUCAUAACCUUGUGAAGUUCUCUCAUGUGGACUAGGGGAAUUGUUAAGACCAGGAAUAAUGUUCACAAGCUAAAGCUAGUUAACUUCAGCACUUACCUCUACUCGGUACUGAAAC